rfam:Schistosoma curassoni strain Dakar, Senegal genome assembly, scaffold: SCTD_scaffold0018478
GCAUUGCUGUGGAGUCCCACAAUAGGACGAAAUGGCCGUCUAGUGC